rnacentral:rRNA from 1 species
UACAGAGGGGCCAGCGUUAUUCGGAAUUAUUGGGCGUAAAGGGCGCGUAGGCGGCCAUGCGUGUCUUCCGUGAAAUCCCUCGGCUUAACUGAGGACGUGCGGAAGAAACUGCAAGGCUCGAGUCCGGGAGAGGGGGGUGGAAUUCCCAGUGUAGCGGUGAAAUGCGUAGAUAUUGGGAGGAACACCGGUGGCGAAGGCGGCCCCCUGGACCGGUACUGACGCUGAGGCGCGAAAGCGUGGGUAGCAAACGGG